AAGUCGUAACAAGGUUUCCGUAGGUGAACCUGCGGAAGGAUCAUUACUGAGUUCAUGCCCUAACGGGUAGAUCUCCACCCUUGAAUACAAACUCUUGUUGCUUUGGCGGGCCGCUUCGGCUACUGGCUUCGGCUGGUGAGUGCCCGCCAGAGAACCCUAAACUUUGAAUUACAGUGUCGUCUGAGUACUAUAUAAUAGUUAAAACUUUCAACAACGGAUCUCUUGGUUCUG
rnacentral:misc_RNA from 1 species